UAAAAAUUUUUAUAGUUUAGAAAAUUUAUUUUAAAUUUAUUUUACAUAUAAAUUUUAGUGUUAAUAUUUGUUUAUUUAAAAAAUAAAUGAUUAAAUUGAAUUAGUAAUUAAUAUUAAAUUAUUUAAGAAAUUAAUAUUUAGUAAUAUUUUAAAUUAAUAACAAAUUUUGUGCCAGCAGUUGCGGUUAAACAAAGAUUAAUAUAAAUUUUAUUAGUUAAAUUAAUAAAUAAGAAAAUUUUUAAUGCAAAUUUUAAAUUAUUAGGUGAAAUUUUAAUUUAAUUAAAAAUUAACUAAUAAAUUAUGAUUUAAUAAGUUUUAUUAAAAACUAGGAUUAGAUACCCUAUUAUUGAAAUUUUAAAUUUAAAUACUAAAAUAGUAAGUAAUUAUUUAUUGAAACUUAAAUAAUUUGGCGGUAUUUCAGUUCAUUUAGAGGAAUCUGUUUAUUAAUUGAUAAUCCACGAAUAAAUUUACUUAAAUUUAUAAUUUUGUAUAUCGUUGUUAAAAAAAUAUUUUUAAAUAAAAUUAAUAUUUAAAAAUUAAUAUAAAAAUUAAAUCAGAUCAAGAUGCAGAUAAUAAUUAAGAAUAUAAUGGAUUACAAUAAAUUUAUUUAAAUGAAUAUUAAUUUGAAAUGAUUAAAUUGAAAUUGGAUUUAAAUGUAAUUUUAUUUAAUUUAAUAAAAUGAUUAAAAAUUGAAAUAUGUACAUAUUGCCCGUCGCUUUCAUAUAAUUAUAAUAAAUAAGAUGUAAUAUGUAUAUAAAAUAUAAUCAAGUUGAAAUAAGUCGUAACAAAGUAGAGGUACUGGAAAGUGUUUCUAGAAAGAA
rnacentral:ncRNA from 1 species